UUAUAAUUGUAUUUUGUUAUAGAAAAUAGAGAGGCAGUUUUGAAUACUGACUACACAAAGAAUUACUACCAAUAUCAUUUAACAAUUAUUAAGGCUCAAAAACUUAAUAUGCUUACGUUAAAUCCUCAGAUUUGGUGUAAUGAAUACAUCCGCAAAUUAAUGAAUUCAUUAUAAUUAAAUGUUUUAACUAUCGACAAUAUUAAAGACAACUGGAUAUAUCAAGCUUAGUGAUGAAAAUAUCAAAGCCAUUCAAAAAUAACCACAAGAUAAUAAAAAAUUACCUUAUAUGUUGAAAUAAUUAAUAUUCAAACUCAACGGGAACCCACAUUAAU